rnacentral:rRNA from 1 species
UACGGGGGGAGCAAGCGUUGUUCGGAUUUACUGGGCGUAAAGGGCGCGUAGGCGGCGCAACAAGUCACUUGUGAAAUCUCCGGGCUUAACCCGGAGCGGCCAAGUGAUACUGUCGUGCUAGAGUGCGGAAGGGGCUACUGGAAUUCUCGGUGUAGCGGUGAAAUGCGUAGAUAUCGAGAGGAACACCUGCGGCGAAGGCGGGUAGCUGGGCCGAUACUGACGCUGAGGAGCGAAAGCGUGGGGAGCGAACGGG